UACGGGGGGGGCAAGCGUUGUUCGGAAUUACUGGGCGUAAAGGGCGCGCAGGCGGUCGAAUAAGUCGAAUGUGAAAGCCCCCGGCUUAACUGGGGAGGGUCAUUCGAUACUGUUCGACUUGAAGGCAGGAGAGGGCAGCAGAAUUCCCGGUGUAGUGGUGAAAUGCGUAGAUAUCGGGAGGAAUACCAGUGGCGAAGGCGGCUGCCUGGCCUGUUCUUGACGCUGAGGCGCGAAAGCUGGGGGAGCAAACGGG
rnacentral:rRNA from 1 species